UGGAUACCACGGGUGUACUCC
rnacentral:siRNA from 1 species